UUCUUACAAAAAGUGGGUAUUGUAAUAUCGAGGAGUCAAAUGUCUGUGUAAAGUGAACAAAGCUCAAACCCAAAUCAAGCUCUGAGGGAGGAGAAUCGGCGGGUGAAGGAGGAGAACAGGCGGUAAAGGCAAAUGGCUUCUCGUCGACAGCAACGGCGACAACGGCGACAGCAACGGUAGCAACAGCGACGGCAACAUCGACAGCGACAACAACGGCGACAGCUUCUACAUUGGCAGCAUCGGCAGCAUCGGCAGCACCCACUACAGCGGCACCAGUGACGGCAGUGACGGCACUGCCAUUAGGCACUUUGGCGACACAGGCGGUUCCAACUAAUCAGGUAGUCAACAAUAGGAGAAGGGAUCAAAGACACAGAGGACCGUAAACAUGCUACGGCAAUAGCAACAACAACAGCAGUAACAGCGGCAACAACGAAGAAGGGAGGAACAACAGAGGCUUGCCCGGGACCAGCAACGAUAACAACAGCAGCAGCAGCAACAACAGCAGCUGCAGCAACAACAACCCUAGCAUGCUCUGCUGCGUGUUUUAGAUGAGGCGCAAAGGACUUCGGUGUGAUGACAUGUUACCUUCUGCAACACCUGCCAAUUACGCCGCUUCAUGUGCAGGAAUUGACACCCUCUGAUACACUCGAUAUCCAUAUAUCUUAUCCAUAAACUAUUCAGAGCAUUUCAUCAAUCUUGACAACUGGCAUGAUCCAAAGAUGCCAACUUAACAUGUUGGAAUUAUCAAGAUCUGUUUUGUAUGUCCAAAACUUGGUACAACAUCCUGCUUUUGACACGAUCGUCCUCUUACAAGUCCCUGAAGGUGUCCAUGUGUACCUCCUGAUGACUCGGCAGCUCUGAGGUGUUGAGGGGUGUUUCAUGUUUCAUGGCUCACUUUUCUACCUGAAACACCCGCUAACACCUUCUAGUUAAACGAUGACUCGGUUGUAUUCACAAACAUUUUCUCGGGUAAUUUGUAUUUGGUCAACGUCAGUCAGGGGAUUGUUGUGAAAGAUUUUAAUACGAGCAUUGAAAUGAGCGUGUCAGACCUUACUGGUUGCGUCACCUCAACAAAAUAUUUCAGUUUGUUUUCUUGAUACAAUGAGUUGAAGACGUCUCUUCCUAAUCAUGUGCGGUGCUGUGGUAGGAUGUUGGCAAUAUCAGUCUACAACGAAGAUGGAUGUUUGUUGAACAGAACUAAGUGCCAAGGCACCCUUACCGCAGCUGUACACCGCACCAUCUACCACACCCGUCUACCACACCCGUCUACCACACCUCCGCUCUUGUCUAUGUCGCCACCAUCCUCAGUCGCCACCAGCCACAGUCGCCACCAGCCUCUGUUGCCACCAGCCUCAGUUGCCGUCAGCCUCAGUUGCGGCCAGCCUCAGUUGCCGUCAGCCUCAGUUGCGGCCAGCCUCAG